AGUGGGAUAGCUGGGUCAAAUGGUGGUUUUAUUCCAAGUUUUCUGAGGAAUCUCCAUACUGUUUUCCAUAGUGGUUGCACCAAUUUGCAGUCCCAUCAACGAU
rnacentral:pre_miRNA from 1 species